CGAACGGAGUCAUUUUGAAGUAGCAAUACGGAAGAAUGACUUAGUGGCGCACGGGUGAGUAACACGUAGGUAACCUGCCCUUAAGAGGGGGAAAACCCGCCGAAAGGCGAGCUAAUACCGCAUAAGACCACGAACUGAGAUGUUUGUGGUAAAAGGAGCAAUCCACUUAAGGAUGGGCCUGCGGCCUAUCAGGUAGUUGGUGAGGUAACGGCUCACCAAGCCUAAGACGGGUAGCCGGUCUGAGAGGACGGACGGCCACACUGGAACUGAGACACGGUCCAGACUCCUACGGGAGGCAGCAGUGGGGAAUUUUGCACAAUGGGCGAAAGCCUGAUGCAGCGACGCCGCGUGGAGGAUGAAGGUUUUCGGAUUGUAAACUCCUUUUGUAGGGGAAAAUAAUGAUGGUACCCUGCGAAUAAGCCACGGCUAACUCUGUGCCAGCAGCCGCGGUAAGACAGAGGUGGCGAGCGUUGUUCGGAAUUACUGGGCUUAAAGGGCGCGUAGGCGGUAAGAUAAGUCUGUGGUGAAAUCCUAUGGCUUAACCAUAGAAUUGCCAUGGAAACUGUUUUACUUGAGUCAGCGAGGGGAUGGUGGAAUUCCUGGUGUAGCAGUGAAAUGCGUAGAUAUCCGGAGGAAGGCCGGUGGCGAAGGCGGCCAUCUGGCGCUGAACUGACGCUGAGGCGCGAAAGCGUGGGUAGCAAACAGGAUUAGAUACCCUGGUAGUCCACGCCCUAAACGGUGGGCAUUAGGUGUAGGGCUCGUAAGGGUUCUGUGCCGUAGGGAAACCAUUAAAUGCCCCGCCUGGGGAGUACGGCCGCAAGGUUAAAACUCAAAGGAAUUGACGGGGGCCCGCACAAGCGGUGGAGCAUGUGGUUUAAUUCGACGCUACGCGAAGAACCUUACCUGGCUUGACAUGUAGUGGUAAAACCCGAAAGGGCGAUGACCCGAGCAUCGGGGAGCUAUCACAGUGCUGCAUGCUGUCGUCAGCUCGUGUCGUGAGAUGUUGGGUAGUCCCGCACGAGCGCAACCC
rnacentral:rRNA from 1 species